rnacentral:rRNA from 1 species
UAGGGAAUCUUCGGCAAUGGGGGGAACCCUGACCGAGCAACGCCGCGUGAGUGAAGAAGGUUUUCGGAUCGUAAAGCUCUGUUGUUAAGGAAGAACAAGUGUGAGAAUGGAAAGUUCAUACUGUGACGGUAUCUAACCAGAAAGGGACGGCUAACUACGUGCCAGCAGCCGCGGUAAUACGUAGGUCCCGAGCGUUGUCCGGAUUUAUUGGCGUAAAGCGAGCGCAGGCGGUUAGAAAAGUCUGAAGUGAAAGGCAGUGGCUCAACCAUUGUAGGCUUUGGAAACUGUUUAACUUGAGUGCAGAAGGGGAGAGUGGAAUUCCAUGUGUAGCGGUGAAAUGCGUAGAUAUAUGGAGGAACACCGGUGGCGAAGGCGACUCUCUGGUCUGUAACUGACGCUGAGGCUCGAAAGCGUGGGUAGCAAACAGG